GUUGAAGUAGAUCAGUUGUGGACAAUGAGGAGGUGGAAGGGUUGCUAUUGUUUCAAAUUCAAUAAUUCUUUUAUUUUAUCAACUAAAGGCAUACUUUUGAAGCUGAAAUCAUGCCUCAAAAACAAAGCAAAAGGGCAUAAGAAUGGACUGGUGAGUCUUUACAAAGACAUGGAGGCUUGUGGGGGAUACGAAGAUAUACAAGUGAUGUGGGAAAUGGUUCAUUCUUCAUCUCAUUCUUCAAAUGUCAAAAAGAUUCAACGCAACGAUAAACCCUUUUAUUGGAGAUUUUGUUUGGAUACAACUUAAGAUUUUUUUUUUGUAUCCCCAAUACAGCUUUUUCCUUUUCAACCCAAAUCACUAGUAUUAUUUAUCUUAAUAGGUAGGGGUAUUAUGGACAAUUUCCAGCUCCAUGAACGUGUAAUUAGUCAUAAAUCUUGGUACAUCAACAUAUAUGUUAAGUGGAAUAGUUAUUUUAUCAUAAUUGUCUUGGUAUAAAGCAGAACAUAUUAAAACCAUGACCAAAAUUUCACUCUA